GUGUCCUACGGGAGGCAGCAGUCGAGAAUCAUUCACAAUGGGGGAAACCCUGAUGGUGCGACGCCGCGUGGGGGAAUGAAGGUCUUCGGAUUGUAAACCCCUGUCAUGUGGGAGAAAAUUAAAAAGAUAGUACCACAAGAGGAAGAGACGGCUAACUCUGUGCCAGCAGCCGCGGUAAUACAGAGGUCUCAAGCGUUGUUCGGAAUCACUGGGCGUAAAGCGUGCGUAGGCUGUUUCGUAAGUCGUGUGUGAAAGGCGCGGGCUCAACCUGCGGACGGCACAGGAAAUUGCUAGA
rnacentral:rRNA from 1 species